GCAAAGGUAGUUUAAUCAAAACAUUAGAUUGUGAAUCAAAAUUUAGAAGUUUAAACCUUUUCUAUGCU
rnacentral:tRNA from 1 species